UGGGUGCACAAUCGAAGAAAAGAGGGUUGUUGUUGUGCUGGUAAUCAGGUGCAAACAUGACAUCCUUUUAAAGAGGACAAGGGGUUGGGAUUGCUUCUGUAGUGCUGACGACGCUGUUCUAACAACUUCUAAAGGUAAUUUUACCAUCAAUGAAGAGGAAGUGGGGGAGCAUAUGAAGAAGGGUUGGAGAUUUACCAUCGAAAUCAACUCCUCACACUGCAAAACCUUAACAGCUUCGGACACCAGCACCCAUGGUGGUUUUUUUGUGCCUUGAAGAGCCACAGAAGACUGUUUUCCGCCGUUAGAUUAUAAACAGCAAAGACCCUCUCAGGAGCUUGUGGCUACGGAUUUGCACGGUAUGCAAUGGAGGUGUCUGCAUAUUCACAGAGUUUCGAGAAAUGUGGAGUUUACUCAAAGUUUCGUAUAAUUGAUGCUGGAUGGCACUCAGUUGUGAUGGAUACUAAUGGAAUUGCAUCCAAAGCUGAAGAUGCAACUAACUUUGCAAAUAGGUUAACACUUAACACACAUAAAUGAAAACCAUAAAUUUCAGAAAUAUGGUAAAAAGGGACAGAGAGCAGAGGAUCUAUCUAUGGUACUUCCCCAUAUUGUAGCUGACACUAAAACCAAGAAUGCACUAAAGUUAACUGGAUGAUGCUCUGCUGCAGCAAGUUUGGAGCAGAAAAGGUUGGAAAACAAGGCAGUCAUUAGAUUGAAAAGCAGCUGCAGUUUUGUAAGUUUCUAGGUAUAUUCUAAGUUAGAUGAAUUUGUGAAGAUAGGAAUUUCUAUGACUGAACUUAGGUAAUUCCUGUGUAUUUCCUUGAAUGUGAUAAGAAUCGACUGAAUGUGAGAUGAAUUUGAUUGAAGAAAAUAUUGUUGACUGUGGAGGAUGAAAUGAAAUGUGUAAGCGGGC